GUAUAACUCGUUCUGCCGAUUUGUGCUACAAUGUAAUUACAGGACCCACCAUUGUGACAUGCUAAAAGAACUAAACUGGCUGUCGCUGGAAUCCAGACGCACCCUUCAUCUUUCCAGCCUUGUGUUUAAGAGCUUUUCUGGGAAACUCCCACCCUACCUGAACAAAAUGCUUUCCCCAGCUGUUCCCACUUCCUAUAAGCUCCGAUCCAGUACCAACACUUUACUUAGUCUACCUCAAUACAAAAAGAAAACGGCCCGAUCCUCCUUCUCCUACAGAGCACCACAAUUGUGGAACGACCUCCCGCACAAUUU